GGCUCAGAACGAACGCUGGCGGCGUGCCUAACACAUGCAAGUCGAACGCGAAAAGCAGUAAUGCUGAGUAGAGUGGCGCACGGGUGAGUAACACGUAACUGACAUGUCCUAGAGACAAGGAUAACCAUUCGAAAGGAUGGCUAAUACUUGGUAAGCCCACGGCUUUGGAGCUGCGGGAAAAGGGUCGGGACCUUUCGAGGCCGAUCGCUUUGGGAGUGGGUUGCGGCCCAUCAGGUAGUUGGCGGGGUAACGGCCCACCAAGCCUAAGACGGGUAGCUGGUCUGAGAGGAUGAUCAGCCACACUGGAACUGAGACACGGUCCAGACUCCUACGGGAGGCAGCAGUGGGGAAUCUUGCGCAAUGGGAGAAAUCCUGACGCAGCAACGCCGCGUGGGUGAUGAAGGUCUUCGGAUCGUAAAGCCCUGUCGGAGGGGAAGAUGCUUUCUGUCGCUAAUAUCGGCAGGAGGUGACGGUACCCUCAAAGGAAGCACCGGCUAACUCUGUGCCAGCAGCCGCGGUAAUACAGAGGGUGCAAGCGUUGUUCGGAAUUAUUGGGCGUAAAGGGAGUGUAGGCUGUUCCUUAAGUCUUCUGUGAAAUCUACGGGCUUAGCCUGUAACGUGCAGAGGAAACUGGGGGACUUGAGUGUCGGAGAGGGUAGCGGAAUUCCCGGUGUAGAGGUGAAAUUCGUAGAGAUCGGGAGGAACACCAGUGGCGAAGGCGGCUACCUGGCUGACAACUGACGCUGAGACUCGAAAGCAUGGGGAGCAAACAGGAUUAGAUACCCUGGUAGUCCAUGCCGUAAACGAUGAUAGCUAGAUGUGUGCGGUAUUGACCCCGUACGUGUCGAAGCCAACGCGAUAAGCUAUCCGCCUGGGGAGUACGGUC
rnacentral:rRNA from 1 species